rnacentral:lncRNA from 1 species
AGGAGGAAGAAGAAGAAGAAGAAGAAGAAGAAGAAGAGUUGAUGCUGCUGCUAAUAUUACAGAGCAGGUUGGAAACUUUAGAUGGACAAGGGGCGCUCAGGGGGCUGCAUUCACGGCGCAUCAGGACUGUUGAACAUUCCUUGGCUGUGUAACGUAAGGCCGGGUGAGUAGCGGUCGUCCCCCUUGGUUUGACUGUAAUUCCAACCCACUCUUCUUCCUACCUGUGCAGGCGGAUAACAGAUCACAGAGCCUGAAUUCAUUGACGCCUGAGCAGCAAUAUAACUUCGUCAGCUUUCAUUUCCUUUUCUUCCAGUAAGUUGCAGAGUUGGGUGCCCCCCCCCCCCUCGGGCUGUCUUGAUGGAUGAUAGUAGAGAGCUGCGAGGGGGAAGUACACAGGCAUUUUGACACAAGGAAGCUCAUAAAGAGGGCUCAAGGGGUCGUCCAACGGCCUCCCCAGAGCCUGUGAUGAUUAGAAGAAGCAAGUAAAGGGGGAGCGGAGGGACAAACUGAGCUAACAGCAGACUGGGGUGUACCAACAGGGGCGUUGAUUUACUGGAGUGUCUUGAAUUAAGACUACUGAUAUCUGACGUGCAGCGAUUCGAGGUGAGCUUGUUUAAUGAGGUUUCAUCUAACCUCCUUCAUGAGCCCUGCUUCGUCGUCGGACUUUGCGCCUCCCUAGGACCCUUUUCCUUUAUGGCUCCCAGGCUCCCUGAGUUAUUGCAACUUGUGUCUGAUCCGAAACCCAUCCUUACUACUCUACGACGAAGAUGUGGUCAUCGCUUUCGAACCUCUCCCAACUUGGGGUGGUACCUUCUCCGCGUCAUUUUUAUUUUUAUUUUUAUUUUUUUGUCUUUUUUCUCACAGGAAAUACGUCGUUUAAAAUGACUGUAGAAUCCUUUCCCAUCACCAGAACUUGGAUGUGAGCGGGGCAAAGUCUCGAGCAUUUGCGAAGCCUGGAUCAUGUUUUCAAGUUCCAGCCAGUCACUUUUGUUUUGUAACUUCCGUGGCUAACACUGGUAGGGCUAGGUCAAGGUGGGAUUUUCUGUAUUUUCGCUUCUUUCACAAUGACAUAGGAGCGUGUAAUGUGUUUUACACGCUCACAUUGAGCCAUUCGAGGCAAGCUGGACAAAGUUCUG